CCGUAGGUGAACCUGCGGAAGGAUCAACCCCUGUGGGUAUAGUGAGAUGGUUGUUUUUCCAACCCAACCCGUGCGCACAUCCAUUGGACUGGAUGCACGGGUGUGUGUGGUCUUCUUGGUGGGGAGGCCUGGUUAGGGCCUGGCUUGGUGGGGUGACUAGGCUGGACGGUGUACUGACAAAGCCGUUUUUCCAGUUAUAGAGCCGUUCCAGUUGGGCCCAAGGGCAUGUCCAGUCCCAUUGGUGGUGGGCGCCCCUCCGUGGGCUCUGAGGCCUUGUCACCCUCAGUGUCCGUCGGAGUCUACAAAGGGGCACUUGUGCCCCGGCGUAACGUAAGAUGUAUGUGUAUACAUAUUCCGGUUGGCCUUGUGCCAACAACAUGCCAGUGAAGACGUGUCCUUUUUGUCCACUCCAAUAUUUUACCUACGGGACAAGGCCUAGCUGGUCCGCAGGCGGCGGGAUGACUUGGGUUGGAAGGAGGGGGGGUUCCAGAAGGAGAAGGAGACUGGGUUAGCAUAGGCGGCGUCGCCAGUGCGCGCUGCUGAGGAGCAACCGGCCAGUUGGUCCGCGCUACUUGGUCGAUCUCUCUGCUGGACUUGUUGGGUGUAAGGUAGGCAUCCACAGUUAUUUGGCGUGCAACCCCGAUGUGCGCACUCCACGCCCUCCUUCCGUUGUGCCCAAUCGUCUGAAGUUAUGGGCCUCGACGAAUUGAUGUAAGUCGAGGGGGUCAUAUCUGUUUUUUUGGCCCGGCAUGGACCUAGACCUACACGCGGUGCCCCUGUUCUUGACUGAUUAGGUCUAUAACAUCAAGCUGAGUUUUCCAAUGGGUUUAUAGAUAGCUCUCAACAAUGGAUCUCUAGGCUCUUGCAUCGAUGAAAGAACGCAGU
rnacentral:misc_RNA from 1 species